AUGCACACCCUCGAAGCGAGCGACGACGUCUUCUUGAACGAAACCCCGAUUCCACCAGGACGCGACCAUGACUUCAUUCUUCACCACACACCAUGCCUCAACGUCGCCAUUGACGGGGCACUGUCGCUGCUUCGCCUGUGCAAAGAGUGCCUCUGGCUAGAGGUCUGGGCACGUCCGGACGAGAAAAGUAGCGGCGAUGGCGCCGCCGCAGAGUGGCUGCAAACCAAGGCGAUCCAGCUAAAAAGGCCGACGGACAAGAACGAGAUUGAGAAAGUACAGUGCUUGUGCCUGGACGAGAGAAGCGGCGCAUUGUUCGUCGAGGACACCGACGAGCGCAUGUACGCUGUCGAUCUCGACACCGGGGAGAUGGAUGAGGUGACCGACCAGUUUUGGAGGCUCAAAUCGCAGACCGCGGUGCCCUUCGAGAUGGAUUGGCCGGCUUUCUUCGCGUCUCGCUUGGGCGGCCGGCAAAAGACGAAACCAAGUGUGAACCCCUGA
rnacentral:rRNA from 1 species